AGUAUUUGNUUCUCGGAAGGACUAGAUAUGAAUAUUGAAUAAUCAGACAUAGUACCGAUAAGGUUGUAUGUCUAAAGGGAAACAGCCCAGAACAAGAGUUAAUAAGGUUCCAAAAUUAUUGUUAAGUGAAAUUAAGGCAGUAUUUAUCCAAAUCGGCCAGGGAAUAGGCUUAGAAGCGGCCAUUUUCUGAAGACCUCGUAACAGAGCACUGGUCUUGUUUUAAUGAUAAUAGGGAUAAAAGCACCGAAAAUUUAACGGAUCUAAACAAUAUACCGAGACCUUGUCCAAAUAUAUUAAUGUAUCUAAAUUUUACAUUGUAUAUUAGGGGUAGCGGAACAUUGGGGAAGUUUCUUAUUAUGCCUUUAUAAGGCAUAAAAAUAAUUAACAACCCAAGCGAGAAUGCUGACAUGAGUAACGAUAAAGGGGAAUACCCUCGCCUAAAGCUUAUGGAAUUUAAUUAAAGUUACGGCCUCUAAGUUUAUUAUAUAUUUAAUGAAUAAUCUGUUAUUUAUUAAUAAUCCCAAAGGGGGUAAACGAUGAGCAAAUCUAAGAUUUAUAGAAAAUAUCAUUUUUACAUAGUGACAAAUGAUCUGGAAAACUGUAUAUCUCAUUUGCUAAAUAGGAAUAAACUAAAACAGAUGAUAUNUUUAGCAGAUGGUUACCGUACCUAAAUACUACCA
rnacentral:rRNA from 1 species